rnacentral:rRNA from 1 species
UCAGCUCGUGUCGUGAGAUGUUGGGUUAAGUCCCGCAACGAGCGCAACCCUUGAUUUUAGUUGCCAGCAUUUAGUUGGGCACUCUAAAGUGACUGCCGGUGCAAGCCGGAGGAAGGUGGGGAUGACGUCAAAUCAUCAUGCCCCUUAUGACCUGGGCUACACACGUGCUACAAUGGAUAGUACAAAGGGUCGCGAAGCCGCGAGGUGGAGCUAAUCCCAUAAAACUAUUCUCAGUUCGGAUUGUAGGCUGCAACUCGCCUACAUGAAGCCGGAAUCGCUAGUAAUCGUGGAUCAGCAUGCCACGGUGAAUACGUUCCCGGGCCUUGUACACACCGCCCGUCACACCACGAGAGUUUGUAACACCCGAAGUCGGUAGGGUAACCUUUAUGGAGCCAGCCGCCGAAGGUGGGACAGAUAAUUGGGGUGAAGUCGUAACAAGGUAGCCGUAUCGGAAGGUGCGGCUGGAUCACCUCCUUUCUAAGGAA